rnacentral:rRNA from 1 species
GACGAACGCUGGCGGCGUGCUUAACACAUGCAAGUCGAACGGAAAGGCCCUGCUUUUGUGGGGUGCUCGAGUGGCGAACGGGUGAGUAACACGUGAGUAACCUGCCCUUGACUUUGGGAUAACUUCAGGAAACUGGGGCUAAUACCGGAUAGGAGCUCCUGCUGCAUGGUGGGGGUUGGAAAGUUUCGGCGGUUGGGGAUGGACUCGCGGCUUAUCAGCUUGUUGGUGGGGUAGUGGCUUACCAAGGCUUUGACGGGUAGCCGGCCUGAGAGGGUGACCGGCCACAUUGGGACUGAGAUACGGCCCAGACUCCUACGGGAGGCAGCAGUGGGGAAUAUUGCACAAUGGGCGGAAGCCUGAUGCAGCAACGCCGCGUGCGGGAUGACGGCCUUCGGGUUGUAAACCGCUUUCGCCUGCGGCGAAGCGUGAGUGACGGUAAUGGGUAAAGAAGCACCGGCUAACUACGUG